GGGCCUGUGGCUCAGUGGUAGAGCGCCCGCUUAGCAGAUCACCUGCGGGAGGUCCAGGGUUCGAUUCCCUGCUGGUCCA